rnacentral:tRNA from 1 species
CCAUCGGUGGUUCAGUGGUAAAAUGCUCGCCUGCCACGCGGCCGGCCCGGAUUCGAUUCCCGGCCGAUGCA